GAGAGAAUCAGCUCUUCGUGUGCGGACUUGUGGGCGUGCGUGAGCUUCACGGCCUCGCUGUUUGCAAUAAGUGCUCUUUGGGUGUACUUUCUCGUAUGGUAGGCCAACAUCAGUUUCGGUUACCAUAAAAUGACCGGAGGAAUGUAGCUUCGAUCUCGGUUGAAGUGUUAUAGCCUUUGGUAGAUGUGGUGAUUGGGACUGAGGAUUGCAACGAAUAUCCUUUGGGCUAUCCGUCUGAUCUCUGAAAGUCGCUCAGGUGCCGAAAGCGUGCUUACGGUUAUCUAAGUUGGCGGUCAAAAGGUUAGAACGUGAUUACAUUCGUUAAGGAUGUUGACGUA
rnacentral:rRNA from 1 species